GAUGAACGCUGGCGGCGUGCCUAACACAUGCAAGUCGAGCGAACAGACGAGGAGCUUGCUCCUCUGACGUUAGCGGCGGACGGGUGAGUAACACGUGGAUAACCUACCUAUAAGACUGGGAUAAUUUCGGGAAACCGGAGCUAAUACCGGAUAAUAUAUUGAACCGCAUGGUUCAAUAGUGAAAGACGGUUUUGCUGUCACUUAUAGAUGGAUCCGCGCCGCAUUAGCUAGUUGGUAAGGUAACGGCUUACCAAGGCGACGAUGCGUAGCCGACCUGAGAGGGUGAUCGGCCACACUGGAACUGAGACACGGUCCAGACUCCUACGGGAGGCAGCAGUAGGGAAUCUUCCGCAAUGGGCGAAAGCCUGACGGAGCAACGCCGCGUGAGUGAUGAAGGUCUUCGGAUCGUAAAACUCUGUUAUUAGGGAAGAACAAAUGUGUAAGUAACUAUGCACGUCUUGACGGUACCUAAUCAGAAAGCCACGGCUAACUACGUG
rnacentral:rRNA from 1 species